AACGCGAAGAACCUUACCUGGGCUCGAAAUGUUAUGGACCGGAGUAGAAAUAUUCCUUCCCAGCAAUGGGCCGUAAUAUAGGUGCUGCAUGGCUGUCGUCAGCUCGUGUCGUGAGAUGUUGGGUUAAGUCCCGCAACGAGCGCAACCCUUAUCCCCAGUUGCCAUCAUUAAGUUGGGCACUCUGGUGAAACCGCCUCGGAUAACGGGGAGGAAGGUGGGGAUGACGUCAAGUCCUCAUGGCCUUUAUGUCCAGGGCUACACACGUGCUACAAUGGCCGGUACAGAACGACCCGAAAUCGCGAGGUGGAGGAAAUCACUAAAACUGAGCCCAGUUCGGAUUGUAGGCUGCAACUCGCCUACAUGAAGCCGGAAUCGCUAGUAAUGGCGUAUCAGCUACGACGCCGUGAAUACGUUCCCGGGCCUUGUACACACCGCAUAC
rnacentral:rRNA from 1 species